rnacentral:lncRNA from 14 species
CCGAUCCGGUUAUCCCGUUAUCCCUAUCCCGUUAUCCCGGUCCCGUUAUCCGGUUAUCCCGGUAUCCGGUUAUCCCGUUAUCCGGUACCUGCCCCAUCCACCUCCAUCCCUCCGGCCCCGUUGCUCCCGGCUGUGGAUGAAGCGGCUCCGGACGCCGCAGCCGCCAUCUUGGCCUGGGCUCUGCGCAUGCGCGGAGGGGAGGACGGGAGACGAGGGCGGGGCUUCCUCCAUCACGUGACACCGAUGCGGUGCAUCCCAUUGGGUCCCAUUGCCCUCCAUAGACCUCCCAGUCCAUCCCAGUGCUCCCCAUUGCCUCCCAGUAACGCCCCAGUACAUCCCAUGCCUUAAUUUACCCACUAUAGACAACGGGAUCCUGCCCCUAUAGGGGUUAAUGCACCCUAUAGGGUUUAAUACCCCCCUAUAGGGUUUAAUACCCCCCUAUAGGGUUUAAUACCCCCCCCAAUCUCCGCCCUCGCCUCCUGAUUGGCUGGAGCAUCGAUAAGCUCAGCGCUCGGCCCCGCCCACCCUCCUGGCCACGCCCCCUCGGCGCUCGGCUCCGCGCCCUGCGCACGCGCCAGGAGCCGGUACCGGAACCUCCCGAGCCCAUUCCCAUUGAUCCCAUUGAUCCCAUUGAUCCCAUUCCCACUGAUCCCAUUCCAUUGAUCUCAUUCCCAUUGAUCUCAUUCCCAUUGGUCCCAUUCCCGGUUAUCCCGGUUGUUAUCCCGCCCCCAUUCCCUGCCGUUAUCCCGGUCCCUUUCCCGGCUCUCCCUGCUGCAUUCCCUAUCAUUAUCCCGGUUAUCUCUGCGUUAUCCCACCCGUUAUCCCGGCUCUCCCUGCCGCGUUCCCUGCCGUUAUCCCGGUUAUCCCAGUUAUUCCUGCCGCAUUCCCAUUAUCCCAUCCGUUAUCCCGGUUAUCCCAUCCGUUAUCGCUGCCGCUAUCCCGGUUAUCCCUGCCGUUAUCGCUGCCGUUAUCCCAUCUAUUAUCCCGUUCCCCCAUUCCCGUUCUCCGGUUAUCCCAUUCCCGUUCCCAUUCCCAUUCCCGUUAUCCCGUUAUCCCGGUUAUCCCAUUCCCGUUCUCCGGCUCUCCGGUUCUCCCAUUCCCGUUCCCGUUAUCCCGUUAUCCCAUUCCCGUUAUCCGGUUAUCCCGUUCUCCCGUUCCCGUUCCCAUUC